rfam:Rosellinia necatrix DNA, scaffold: Contig59, strain: W97.
UAUGUUGUGGACUAAUCGGGUAAGUCAUAAAUUUUUGGUAUUUAUUAUUGAGUGUUCGAGUCACUCCAACAUAA